UGAAGUAAAAAGUCGUAACAAGGUCUCCGUUGGUGAACCAGCGGAGGGAUCAUUACCGAGUUUAC
rnacentral:rRNA from 1 species